GUUAAAAAGUUUGCACAGCCUUGGGCUAGAUAAACACAGAUGAAUGAACUGUGAGUGGUUUAUUCCUUUGAGGUUUUCCCAAUACCCCCUAUUGGAGAAGACAAAUGAGUAAGUAGAUAUUCAUAAUACAGUGUGACACUUAGAGUGGGGUAAGUAAGGGUGGGGGUUGGGGGGAAGAGAUAUCUAGGCCAGAUUAGGAGGAUCAGGAAAAAGAGGUAUGUAGGCCAGGUUAGGAGGAUCAGGCCUGGAGGGCAUGAUGUUGAAGCUGUGUCUUAGGGAUGUCUUGGGACAGCCCAGAGAGGGAGGGUUAGGUCUAGAGUGCCAGCUGGUUUCUCUGAUGGAGGGAGACCCAGUGGUGGGCAAUGCCUGGGACAUUCACCAAGUGUGGGUGGGUGGAGUGUGGGGUCAGGUGGGAGAUACAGCUCUGGCGAGGUCAGCAGGGCAGAUGAGGUGCGGCCUGUGGGCCUUCCAAAGAGUGUGGGCUGUGAAGCUGUGGGACACAGGGAUGGCUUUUAUAUGGAGUGUGGUGUACAGACCAGUGGCCCACCAAAGGUGUCACACCCUAAUUCCCAGAACCUGUGAAUGUGUGACCUGAUAUGCAAAGGGGACUCUGUAGACGUGGUUGAAUUAAGGACCUUGAGAUGGGAAGAUGAUCCUGGCUUAUCCAGGUGGGUCCCAGGUAGUUACAGGUGUCUUUAAAAUAGGAAGGGGAGGCAGGAGAGACAGAGGUGACAGUGAUGCUACUGCAGGCUUUGAAGAUGGAGGAAAGGGCCACAAGGCAAGGGAUGCAGGAGGCCUCUAGGAGCUGGACAAGGCACAGGAUCAGACUUCGCCCUGGAGCCUCCAGAGGGACUGCGGCCCUGUUAAUACAUGUGAGACACAUUUUGGACCUCUGAUCUCCAGAAUUGUAAGAGAAUAAAUUUGUCGUUUUAAGCCACUAAGUUGUGGUCAUUUGUUAACAGCAGGCCUAGGAAACAAAUAUUGGCUAAGUGCAGAGUCACCAGCAAACCUUUGUACAGGCUUGGGGUUAAGGGGGUGGAAACUUUUGGCCAGGAUUGGUAAGACCAUCACCAUUACUUGAAAACCAUCCUAGAGAGUUCAUUUUCCAAUCAGGCAACUAUAAGUGGUUUUCUAUGUAGAUCAAUUGUUACGAUUAAGGCCAGGGGACAUUAAUCUCAUGUAGGAUCAGGAAACUCACCAGCCCUGAUCCGUUCUUACCUGGGUCCCCUGUGUGAUGACGAAUGAGCCCUCUUACCUGGGGAUUCUGAUAUGUCAUCCCAGGCAAAUAUCAGGUGAAAAGGGCCCCGCUUCUUUUGGGCGCGGGGGGAUCCCAGGGAUAAUGGCAGAUCCCUCAGGGACCUUGAUGGAUUUCCCAUUACUCAUUCCUCCCGUCUGUGGAGCGGGAAGGUGGGGUGUUUAGUGAGUAUCACUGUAACCUGUACUUUUCUAAAGUCAAACAGAUUCCUCCUGGUGGGAGUAUUCGUCUUUUAUGGGAUCGGUGUAGCCCGUCUGACUCAGCGACUCACCCAGCACCCUCUGCAGCUGACACUCUUGACAAUUCACUUGAAUCUGCUGCCUCCUGCUCACAAAAGCCUGCUUCAUUAUUCAGCUCCCCAUCCUCCCGCAAAGCAGAGUGGAGCCUCUCCGCCCCCCUCCCACGUCUCUCCCGUAGCUGGGGGCCGUGUGACUGCUACCUCCACGGCUUCUGUGUCACCGGGAAAUGGAAAUAUCACCAAGUGAGGGAACUGUACGCCUCCUCCAGACACUAUCCACGGUGGUGGCAUCCUAAGCGGCCUAGCGUGCAGGCACUGUGCUCUUCCUUAGUACAUUAUCUUAUUUGAUCACGACAACCCCUGCACUGGAAACACUUUUUCUCCUAACAUCCCAGGGUUAAUAAUUGGAAAAGCUAAACCUAGCACCCAGUACAUUAACCCAUUCGCUGCCCUCUUCCCUUCUAGCUUAUCUGGGAUGAUCCCUACUGUGGGCUGAAUUGUGUGCCCCCAAAAGAUAUGCUCAAGUCCUAACCUCCAGUACCUGGAAACGUGACCUUAUUUAGAAAUAGGAUCUUGGCAGAUGUAGUCAAACCCAGAUCUACCGAAUGACCUUUGCUUGGUGAACUGGAUUCAUUGGGUUCAAGAAUCAUUCCCUUGGCUUCCAAUUUAUGGUUAGAUUUCAAGAGGUCAAACCAUGUAUUGUGGGUUUUCCCAGACUAGAUGAUUCAAACCAUGCCACAGCCAGGA